UAGUCCACGCUGUAAACGAUCAUUACUCGCUGUUGGCAAUACAUCGUCAGCGGCUAAGCGAAAGCGUUAAGUAAUGCACCUGGGGAGUACGUUCGCAAGAAUGAAACUCAAAGGAAUUGACGGGGGCCCGCACAAGCGGUGGAGCAUGUGGUUUAAUUCGAUGAUACGCGAGGAACCUUACCAGGGCUUAAAUGUAGAAUGACCUUUCCGGAAACGGGAAUUCUCUUCGGAGCAAUUUACAAGGUGCUGCAUGGUUGUCGUCAGCUCGUGCCGUGAGGUGUUAGGUUAAGUCCCGCAACGAGCGCAACCCCUGUCUCUAGUUACCAUCAUUUAGUUGGGGACUCUAGAGAUACUGCCAAGGUUAACUUGGAGGAAGGUGGGGAUGACGUCAAGUCCUCAUGGUCUUUAUAUCCAGGGUUACACACGUGCUACAAUGGUCGGUACAAUGGGUCGCGACAUAGCGAUAUGAAGCCAAUCCCAAAAAACCGGCCCCAAGUUCGGAUAGGAGUCUGC
rnacentral:rRNA from 1 species